rnacentral:tRNA from 1 species
ACUUAAAUAGCUCAAGGAUAGAGCAAGAUAUUGAAGAUAUCUCGGUGAUUUAAAGUCUUUAAGUA